rnacentral:siRNA from 1 species
AAGGUUUUGCGUUUAGGGUUUA